AUAUUGGCAGAGAUCGCCGUAAGUGAGUAACAGAAUAACAAAAACAAUUUCGGGAACAGGCUAGGAAUCGAUAUUAGUUGAAGGAUCGAGAUAUGACGAGACCAGUAGUAUUCGUUCCAGUGCGAAAGUUGACAACGGGUGUAAGCAUAGAACAGGCGUCGUUCCAAGUAUCGCUGUUACUUACUGAAUCGCGGAACAGUUCCGUGGAACAGUCACCGCAUACCUGUUCCAAAAUAACAGUUCCAGUAUUUUCGUACCAUCUCUAUUCUAAACGCAGUUAGUCGACGAAAAAUGGAAACAUUUUUUGACAAAUUUAUUUGACUUUUUGCCAAAUUUCAAGUGUAACACCACUGAAUUUGUUUUUUUACACAUUUCAACCGACGUAUAUGAAACAAAAUUUCGAAAAUUGACAUUCAGUGUCCCAACUCUCCCAAUAUAGGGACUCUAGUUUGGGGACGAGUCGAAUUGGUUCCCAAAUUCUGUAAUCCUCUCUAAUUAUAGUCGAAUUGGUUCCCGGGGAUGGUCGAAUUGGUUCCCAUCGGUCAGGUAGGUCAGGUAAACAGAUUAAAGUAUUAUAAUAACAGAAAUGGCGUUUGUAAGUGUAUGAACAAAUUUACAAGUUCCAAAACGUUCAAAAACAAAUCGUAUUUUAACAAUUUAAAGGCUAUGGAUAAAUAUUUCUUCGAGUAUUCAAGUACUUCCAAAACGAUGAAGAAGGCGCAUAGAACUUAAUGGGUACUAUGUCGAAAAAUGUUAAAAUUAUUUUUGUAAUUUGUCUCUAUUUUGAUGCUUUAAUAGUAUUAAUAGACAUAUUAACGAACGCAACGUCAUCAUGUGAGAUGUCUUAGUAGUCAUUACUAGACGAAACAUUUUACGAAAUUUACAGGAGAGCAUUGGGCUUAAAAAAUUACAUUCUCCUUUUUUUAAGUAACCAGUUAGCCAUGAAUAAAUGAAAUUUGUUGUUGGAUUUUGUGCUAAGAAAAUAAUUAUUUGAACAUUUCUACAAGCUUUAAAUCUAAAAUAUUAACAUAUAUUUGGCUUAAUCCUUUUUACCUACCUGCUCAUGCGGGAGCCAAUUCGACCAUCACCCGGGAACCAAUUCGACCAUUACCUUUUACAGAAUUAUACUUAUAGAGAUUAUUGGGAACCAAUUCGACCACGACCCUAGUUUGCACAAAAGAAAGGAGAAAGAAAAAAUAAAAGAGUUGUUUUUGUGCUCUUUUAAAAUUUUCUUAUUCUUUAAGAUUUGUUUCAACAAGCUUUGAACAUCCAACUUGCUGUGAUCUUUGAUUGUGAUUUUUAAUAGCUAAAAUUAUGGCUACAUCAAAAAUUAAUUGGGUUUUUAGUGUAGGUAUGUAAAUAAUGGCGUGAUAAAAGGAAAAUAUGUAAUAAAAAAUUGUAUAAAAGGUGAUAUUAAACAAACUACAAGAUGGUUUCAAGCUUGAAACUAACAAUGAAAUUUAUUUUUGCCAUUCUACUGCUCGGUGUUUGCGUGGUUGUUAUAACCACAGCUGAUACAGAUAACGAUAAAAAGCAUGAAACUUUUGUGGAAAUAGAUAUGAUACUAAGUGUGGGUCUUCAGUUACCGGAUUGGAAAAGGCACAAAAUUCUGCAUCAAAUAGGGGCUCGCGAAUAUCUCCGGACUAAUGAAAAGGACUAUGAAUUAAGAUGGAAACAUUUUCGCGAUAUCGACUUAACAAAAAUACGGGUAGUUCCUGAGAACUAUACGGACACCACCGGCUGUUGGGUAGCGACUGAAGACUCUACUCAUUAUUAUUUUUAUAUUAAUGGAAGCUUAGAGUAUAUUAAGCGCAAGAGUUAGACUGUUCUAAUAAAUUGUUAAUCUGUAUUGUGUUAA